AGUGAACGCUGGCGGUAGGCCUAACACAUGCAAGUCGAACGGCAGCACAGUAAGAGCUUGCUCUUACGGGUGGCGAGUGGCGGACGGGUGAGGAAUACAUCGGAAUCUACUUUUUCGUGGGGGAUAACGUAGGGAAACUUACGCUAAUACCGCAUACGACCUACGGGUGAAAGCAGGGGAUCUUCGGACCUUGCGCGAUUGAAUGAGCCGAUGUCGGAUUAGCUAGUUGGCGGGGUAAAGGCCCACCAAGGCGACGAUCCGUAGCUGGUCUGAGAGGAUGAUCAGCCAGACUAGAACUGAGACACGGUCCAGACUCCUACGGGAGGCAGCAGUGGGGAAUAUUGGACAAUGGGCGCAAGCCUGAUCCAGCCAUACCGCGUGGGUGAAGAAGGCCUUCGGGUUGUAAAGCCCUUUUGUUGGGAAAGAAAAGCAGCAGGUUAAUACCCCGCUGUUCUGACGGUACCCAAAGAAUAAGCACCGGCUAACUUCGUG
rnacentral:rRNA from 1 species